rnacentral:rRNA from 1 species
AGUGAACGCUGGCGGUAGGCCUAACACAUGCAAGUCGAACGGCAGCACAGUAAGAGCUUGCUCUUACGGGUGGCGAGUGGCGGACGGGUGAGGAAUACAUCGGAAUCUACUUUUUCGUGGGGGAUAACGUAGGGAAACUUACGCUAAUACCGCAUACGACCUACGGGUGAGAGCAGGGGAUCUUCGGACCUUGCGCGAUUGAAUGAGCCGAUGUCGGAUUAGCUAGUUGGCGGGGUAAAGGCCCACCAAGGCGACGAUCCGUAGCUGGUCUGAGAGGAUGAUCAGCCACACUGGAACUGAGACACGGUCCAGACUCCUAAGGGAGGCAGCAGUGGGGAAUAUUGGACAAUGGGCGCAAGCCUGAUCCAGCCAUACCGCGUGGGUGAAGAAGGCCUUCGGGUUGUAAAGCCCUUUUGUUGGGAAAGAAAAGCAGCAGGUUAAUACCCCGCUGUUCUGACGGUACCCCAAGAAUAAGCACCGGCUAACUUCGUG